GCGGCUAGACGGAAAGACCCCGUGAACCUUUACUACAGCUUUGCACUGAACUUUGAACCUACUUGUGUAGGAUAGGUGGGAGGCGUUGAAACUCAGUCGCUAGAUUGAGUGGAGCCGACCUUGAAAUACCACCCUGGUAUGUUUGGAGUUCUAACCUCGGCCCAUUAUCUGGGCUAGGGACAGUGUAUGGUGGGUAGUUUGACUGGGGCG
rnacentral:rRNA from 1 species